rnacentral:rRNA from 1 species
GACAGAGGGUGCAAACGUUGUUCGGAAUUACUGGGCGUAAAGCGCGUGUAGGCGGCUAAGUAAGUCGGGCGUGAAAUCCCACGGCUCAACCGUGGAAGUGCACUCGAAACUGCAUAGCUAGAGUCCUGGAGAGGAAGGUGGAAUGCUUGGUGUAGAGGUGAAAUUCGUAGAUAUCAAGCGGAACACCGGUGGCGAAGGCGGCCUUAGCUGGACGAUGACUGACGCUGAGACGCGAAAGCGUGGGGAGCAAACAGG